CCCCAGACUCCUACGGGAGGCAGCAGUGGGGAAUAUUGCACAAUGGGGGAAACCCUGAUGCAGCGACGCCGCGUGAGUGAAGAAGUAUUUCGGUAUGUAAAGCUCUAUCAGCAGGGAAGAAAAUGACGGUACCUGAUUAAGAAGCCCCGGCUAACUGCGUGCCAGCAGCCGCGGUAAUACGUAGGGGGCAAGCGUUAUCCGGAUUUACUGGGUGUAAAGGGAGCGUAGACGGUGAUGCAAGUCAGAAGUGAAAGCCCGGGGCUCAACUCCGGGACUGCUUUUGAAACUGUGCAGCUAGAGUGCAGGAGAGGUAAGUGGAAUUCCUAGUGUAGCGGUGAAAUGCGUAGAUAUUAGGAGGAACACCAGUGGCGAAGGCGGCUUACUGGACUGUAACCGACGUUGAGGCUCGAAAGCGUGGGGAGCAAACAGGAUUAGAUACCCCCGUAGC
rnacentral:rRNA from 1 species